GCGCAGCUUGGUAGCGCGUUUGUUUUGGGUACAAAAUGUCACAUGUUCAAAUCCUGU
rnacentral:tRNA from 1 species